rnacentral:lncRNA from 1 species
UAGGAUGGUGCACAAGGCUUGGGUUGAUAGGUGUUGUUGCUUGGAGAAAAAUUGAUACCCUUUGCACCUUUGGAUGAGCUCCUUUGCGUCAGCUGCUGCUAUUGGCCAAUAGAAGCCAAAGUGAAAUGCCUUACCGACCAAAGUUCCUGAAGCAGUGUGGUUCCUGCAUGUGCCCAAGUGGAUCUCGUGCAGGAGGUCAAUGCCCUCGC